rnacentral:rRNA from 1 species
GAAGGAUCUAUCCCCGGAUUUCUNCAAACACCGGUUUGUUGCUUGCCCCCGUAACUGGGGGACACGUGUGACACCGCUGUCGUGGUUACGCAUGCCAACGUGAACAACCCUGUGCAACCCCUUCCGGUAAUUUCCUAUGGGUUUCGCGGAGGAUCCNNCCGUGGUGUCCCUUUCACGUGUGUCUUCUAACGUUGUUGUUUACACCAACUACCGAGCGGACCGUUUCUUGCAAUGGGGAAACUGCUUUCUUUCCUGGCCGCUUGUAGAACUGCCGAAUACGAGUACAACGUGUGUCAGGCAACGGAUCUCUUUGGCUCUCUGCAUCGAUGAAGAACGCAGCGAAAUGCGAUAAGUAAUGUGAAUUGCAGAAUGUCAGUGAAUCAUCGAAUCUUUGAACGCACCUUGCGCCCCUUGGUUAUUCCUUGGGGCAUGCCGUGUUUGAGUAUCUAUGUACACCUCAACUCUCACGGUCUUCCGUGACGAGCUUGGACUUUGGAGGUUUGCUGGCCCUGCGGCCUGGCUCCUCUCAAACAAAUCAGCUUGCCAGUGUUUGGCGGCAUCUCACGGGUGUGAUAACUAUCUACGCUCGCGGUUGUCUGCCAGGUAACCCUCAGCGAUGAAGGUUCAUUGGGGCAUCAUAAACGUCUCUCCUCGGCGAGGACAGCUUUUGAACGUUCGAUCAUCAAAUCAGGUAUGGACUACCCGCUGAACUUAAGCAUAUCAAUAAGCGGAGGAAAAGAAACUAACAAGGAUUCCCCUAGUAACUGCGAGUGAAGCGGGAAGCAGCUCCAAAUUUAAAAUCUGGCGUGCCUCUGGUCGUCCCGU